GCCUGGGUGGCUCAGUGGGUUUAGCAUCUGACUUCAGCUCAGGUCAUGAUCUCACGGUUAGUGGGUUCAAGCCCCACAUCAGGCU
rfam:Felis catus isolate Cinnamon breed Abyssinian chromosome D1, whole genome shotgun sequence.